rnacentral:tRNA from 1 species
GGUACCAUAGCUCAGUUGGUAGAGCAACGGACUGAAAAUCCGUGUGUCGCUGGUUCGACCCCAGCUGGUACCA